rfam:Mycobacterium tusciae strain DSM 44153 NODE_7_length_357339_cov_65.4866, whole genome shotgun sequence.
ACGGAAGCUUGGUGAGGCCAAGGCCGAGCCGGAAGAGAAGGCUCGGAUCUCCCGAAUCAGGCUACCCAGCACGGAUCCCGGCACCCACGCGGAGCACAUGCCGCGGAAUAGGCAAAAGUGUUGCGGGCCUGCGUAAUUGCGAUAGCGGACGGCCACGACGGCCCCUUGGGUGGGGUUGCAGUCGGAGCGCAUCGACAAGACGCCGAGGCCACCCACGCAACCCAAAAGAGCACGCAUGGUAACCGGAAUCCGUGCUAGCGGGCGGCGAGCCGAAUCAGUUCGGAACGCCGCCCGCUUUACUUU